rfam:Fibrobacter sp. TWH4 genome assembly, contig: Ga0136283_107
UCAUACCCGUUCCCUUUCCGAACACGGAAGUCAAGCCCCUCAUCGCCGAUGGUACCUGGCCCACGGGCCCGGGAGAGUAGGUCGCCGCUGGAU